rnacentral:lncRNA from 1 species
UUUUCUGCAUUUUGUCCUACCCUCAAAAGAUAGGACCUUGGAUUGUAUAAAGAUAAUGAGACAACUAUGAUUCAAAUAUUUUCUUAUAGUGCAACCCAGUUUGUAGCAUUUGAGUAUUAUAAAAUGUUCACCACUAUGGAACUGAGGAUAUCUGGUCAUAUGCACAUAUUAACUAGAUCCACAGAAGGUAUUACAGCAGUUACCUGCACUUACCCUGUUGCUAUGGUUAGGGUACCAGUAGUCCAGGUAAAAGGGGAACACAAUUAUGCAGGAAUUAUUUGUGGUGAUGUGUUGUCAGAGUAAUAGCACAGACAAUAUGUAUUCAAUGUAAAUCAUUGGCAAAUGGAAUUAGAAACUCUUCUGCCAGAAUCUGAAGUACCUUAUGAUGAGUGAAAUAAAUGAAGUAUGUUUAUGGCCACCAUGAAAUUCCAAAAAGAUUAUAUUGCAGUUAAUCUCUUAAUAUUGUUCAUAGCAUUACCUUGUAACAGUGGCUUUUAUAACACAUAAACUUAUAAAACAGAUUUUUUUUA